rnacentral:rRNA from 1 species
CAAGUCGCACGGGCAGGGGCAACUCUGUCAGUGGCGGACGGGUGAGUAACGCGUAGGUAUCUAUCCUUGGGUGGGGGACAACUGUGGGAAACUACAGCUAAUACCGCAUGAUGACCGAGGUCCAAAGCUCGCGAGAGCGCCUGGGGAGGAGCCUGCGUACGAUUAGCUAGUUGGUGGGGUAAAGGCCUACCAAGGCGACGAUCGUUAGCUGGUCUGAGAGGAUGAUCAGCCACAUUGGGACUGAGACACGGCCCAAACUCCUACGGGAGGCAGCAGUGGGGAAUAUUGGACAAUGGGCGCAAGCCUGAUCCAGCAAUGCCGCGUGUGUGAAGAAGGUCUUCGGAUUGUAAAGCACUUUCGACGGGGACGAUGAUGACGGUACCCGUAGAAGAAGCCCCGGCUAACUUCGUGCCAGCAGCCGCGGUAAUACGAAGGGGGCUAGCGUUGCUCGGAAUGACUGGGCGUAAAGGGCGCGUAGGCGGAUGGCACAGUCAGAUGUGAAAUUCCCGGGCUUAACCUGGGGGCUGCAUUUGAUACGUGUUGUCUAGAGUGAGGAAGAGGGUCGUGGAAUUCCCAGUGUAGAGGUGAAAUUCGUAGAUAUUGGGAAGAACACCGGUGGCGAAGGCGGCGACCUGGUCCUUGACUGACGCUGAGGCGCGAAAGCGUGGGGAGCAAACAGGAUUAGAUACCCUGGUAGUCCACGCUGUAAACGAUGUGUGCUGGAUGUUGGGUGACCUAGUCGCUCAGUGUCGUAGCUAACGCGAUAAGCACACCGCCUGGGGAGUACGGCCGCAAGGUUGAAACUCAAAGGAAUUGACGGGGGCCCGCACAAGCGGUGGA